UUCCUAGUGAUGUGUAUAGGCUGCAUGC
rnacentral:piRNA from 1 species